CACGUAUUAAGUGAGGUCAGGUCACGUCUCCGCAGCAGCCCUUGUGAUUAUCAUCUUUGCACAUUCGGUCUCACGGCAGUCUGACAGCACAUUCUGGGUCUGAAAAAAAAAAAUGGAGGAGGAGGUUGUUUUCGUGCAUUUCUAAAGGAAGCACAGAGGAGCGAGGCACUUUUUGCCGGUUUUCAAAUUCAACUGGAAGUUCUAUGAAACAGGUCGAGAUCUUUUCUUCUGACUUUGCGCCUGGGAAAACUCGUGGACCAGAAGGUUUAGUUGCUUUUCCAGAAUGUGUCAAUAGGGAGAGCAGCUUGGGCCUGGAACUGGCUAGAUCCUGGCUAAGUAGACCUUGGGGUCUCUACCACUCGCACCUUUGAGGAGAAGAGAGUCGCCUCUUGCUUUCCGUCAAGUAUUUGCCCCAGACUGCUGUACCUGCUAUGAGAUUACAGGUUAAUGAAGGCCAGACGGGAAGCCUCUGUCUUC